GACGAACGCUGGCGGCGUGCUUAACACAUGCAAGUCGAACGGAAAGGCCUGCUUUCCCUUGUGGAUUGCGGGUACUCGAGUGGCGAACGGGUGAGUAACACGUGAGUGAUCUGCCCCCAACUUGGGUAUAAGCCUGGGAAACUGGGUCUAAUUCCCGAUAGGACUGCAGGGUGGUGCCUGUGGUGGAAAACGAUUUUCUAGUGGUUGGGGAUGAGCUCGCGGCCUAUCAGCUUGUUGGUGGGGUAAUGGCCUACCAAGGCGGCGACGGGUAGCCGGCCUGAGAGGGUGGACGGCCACAUUGGGACUGGGAUACGGCCCAGACGCCUACGGGAGGCAGCGGUGGGGAAUAUUGCACAAUGGGCGGAAGCCUGAUGCAGCGACGCCGCGUGGGGGAUGACGGCAUUCGGGUUGUAAACUCCUUUGGACCGCGAGGAAGCCACCUGGUUGGAAGGGUGGUGACGGUAGUGGUAGAAGAAGCACCGGCUAACUACGUG
rnacentral:rRNA from 1 species